rnacentral:misc_RNA from 1 species
CCAAUAACAAUAUUUUAUUCAGUGUAUUUCGCGGAUAUUUUUCCAGAGUUUGAUACCACAAUGAUCUGCAUGCGAAUGCAAUAGUGGGCAGUGGCAGUGCAACAACUGAACCAACAGCAUAAUUGUUUGUGGUAUCAACCUCGUGCCUUCAUUUGAGCUGCAAACCCAAAGCCAUGGAGCCUGUGCCUCUGCCCGGGCCAUUCUCGCCGGCGGGUGCCCGCUAUGGUGGUGGCUCACCCUUUGUGAACCCAGUCUGUGGUCACUGGUCGUGCCCUCUGACGGUGGCCCAUCACCACUGUCGUCAGUGUGGCUAUGGAGGCACUGAGGUCGGCCAACUGAAGCUUCACAACUGCCGCCCCACCUACCUAUCGGAGCUAGCGCCGCCCGGGCCUGCGGCGUCGCUUUUCCGACCCCCUCCGCCCUCCGACUACUUCCGAUCGGGCCCAGCCGAGCAGACUGAAUACGGCCGGCUGGCCUCUCGGUCACUGUUCGCUCCCGCCGCGAUGAUGUCGGGCCCCGCGGCAAUGAUGCCGGGUCAGUACUUCCCGGCGCCGCCGCCAGGGGCGCCAGUGUUCCGGCCUCCGGUACCGUCUCCGCCGCCACCGUCGCAAAGAACGGUCUCAGUCGUCUGCCGUUCAGGGAGACACUGAGGCAGAUGGAGAGGAUCAAGAACCUGCCACCAUCGAUGUGGAAGACGCUGAUGAUCAGCGAACCGACUCGCCCGCCUGUGCGGCCGGCGGGUCCUUGGACAGCGGGGACGACACCUCCCUGUCCCCCAUCAAUGUGGAGAUCGAGGUGCAUUGUCUGAUCUGCAGCACACUCAUCAACCUGCAGCUGGAUCAGUACUGUGAUAUCUACCUGGAUAAUAUCGUCACGGCGCACUCCAAACUGCCCGUCUCAGAGAAACUGGGACGGGUGCUCAGGUACCACUUCUCGCCGGAGUUGCUGUACAGCCACACCCUUUGCCGACGCUGCUUCAACAUUAUCAACGGCAUCGACCAGCUGGAGGGCCGGCUGGACAAACUCAGGUCGGAGGUGCGGGAUAAGUUCAGCAUCACCUGUCGAGAGCGCGGGCUUCACCCGGACCAUUUUCCGGCACGGCCCGAGUCGGCGCAGGGAAGAACUGAGGACGGAAGGCAGUCAGGGAGGCAGUCAGUCUCAGAAAACAGUGGGACGGAUUCCCCGGAUGGAAGAGAGGCGGAAACCGCCCGGAAGGGUCCACAACGGACGACGGAGCUUCGUUCUAGUGAUGGAGGGACGGUGGAAUCUAAUCGCGAUUCCGCACGGCGAGCGGCGACUAGGGACGCAGUGACGGAGACGCUAGCUCCGACAGCCAGCCGAGAGAUUGCCACAGGCACAUGUCCCCCCGCGGGCCAGGAGCGGGCCACGCAGACCUCACCCCCGGCACUACCCUGGCAGUGCGGGCGGUGCGGUCGUGGAUUCCGCUACCGCAGUACGCUGAAACGCCACGCGGCCGGUCACUCUGGGGGUAGACGAGUGUCAUCUCCAGCGCCGGCGCGGCUGCGUUGUCCAGGCUGCCGCUGCGCGCUGGAGAGCCGUGCGGCGUUAUUAGCGCAUGUGUGUAAAGCCGCGACAAAUGUGGCGCGCCUGCGCUGUGCCGGCUGUGGGAAGGAGUUUCGUCAGCGUCGGAAUCUACUGGCUCAUAGAAGACUGUGUGGAGAGGUGGAGGUACUCCAGUGUGAUCAAUGUGAUGUGAAGGUGAAGGGUCGAGCGGCCCUAAAGAGACACCAGAUGGUGCAUCUGAGCAACUAUCCUCUCCGCUGCCCCGUUUGUGAUAAGGGUUUUGUGAAACCCAGUGAUAUGGCGAGGCACCAGAGGACACAUGCCAAAGUGAAGUCCCAUGUGUGUGAAACGUGCGGUAAACAGUUUUCUACCGCCUCGAACUAUAAUCAGCAUGUCGCGAAGGUGCAUCAAGCGACGAAAAUGUUCAAAUGUAGUGAAUGUCCAAAGAGUUAUUCGUAUCGGAGCUCUUUACAGCUUCAUAUGAAAAGUCACGGGGGAGACAAGUCGUUUUCGUGUGAACAGUGCGGGAAGAAGUUCUUAUAUAAGAACAACCUGACCAGGCACCUGAAGGUACACUCUGCCAGUGCUAGUCAUAAUAUCAAGUGCAAUAAAUGUGAUACUGCGCUCGCUGAUGAAUCGGCUCUCAAAGACCACUUAGUGGCGUGCUACUGAAAAUAAACGUAUCAGCUCGAUCUC